rnacentral:rRNA from 1 species
UACGGAGGGGGCUAGCGUUGUUCGGAAUUACUGGGCGUAAAGCGCACGUAGGCGGAUUGGAAAGUCAGGGGUGAAAUCCCGGGGCUCAACCCCGGAACUGCCUUUGAAACUCCCAGUCUUGAGGUCGAGAGAGGUGAGUGGAAUUCCGAGUGUAGAGGUGAAAUUCGUAGAUAUUCGGAGGAACACCAGUGGCGAAGGCGGCUCACUGGCUCGAUAAUGACGAUGAGGUGCGAAAGCGUGGGGAGCAAACAGG